CAUUUUCGAGUUUGUCGCACAUGUGGCAUCUAAAAAGGACAAAAACAAAAAAUGGCCAGUACCCAUUUGUUGAAAUGAUGAAAUAAACCCUUCAAAUCACUGCAUCACAUUGCAAAUCCAUAAACAAAAUGGCCUAUCCUCAGAAACAAAUCAAAACCAAACAGUGAUAAAAAAAAAAAUCAUAUAGAAGAGGGGGAAAUGACAAAUGAGCAUCUCACUAACCGCUAUCCCCAAUCAAGAGAAGCUUAA
rnacentral:misc_RNA from 1 species